UUCAAUGUUGACAAGGACCUUGCAGUUGUCAGCAUCGAGGCCAACGUCAGCUGAUGUGAAGCCAAUGCCUCUGCAAGUAUCCCGGACAAUUUUCUCGUAGUCCACGUUAGCCUUGGUUGUGAUCUCACCAAAGACCAUGACCAUGUUAGUCUUUGAGCAGGUCUCACAGGCAACCUUGCUCUCAGGAUCUUGCGCAAGGCAGGCAUCAAGGAUGGCAUCCGAGACCUGGUCACAAAGCUUGUCUGGGUGGCCUUCAUUUACAGACUCAGAGGUGAAUAGGAAG
rnacentral:lncRNA from 1 species